AGUGAACGCUGGCGGUAGGCCUAACACAUGCAAGUCGAACAGCAGCACAGUAAGAGCUUGCUCUUACGGGUGGCGAGUGGCGGACGGGUGAGGAAUACAUCGGAAUCUACUUUUUCGUGGGGGAUAACGUAGGGAAACUUACGCUAAUACCGCAUACGACCUACGGGUGAAAGCAGGGGGUCUUCGGACCUUGCGCGAUUGAAUGAGCCGAUGUCGGAUUAGCUAGUUGGCGGGGUAAAGGCCCACCAAGGCGACGAUCCGUAGCUGGUCUGAGAGGAUGAUCAGCCACACUGGAACUGAGACACGGUCCAGACUCCUACGGGAGGCAGCAGUGGGGAAUAUUGGACAAUGGGCGCAAGCCUGAUCCAGCCAUACCGCGUGGGUGAAGAAGGCCUUCGGGUUGUAAAGCCCUUUUGUUGGGAAAGAAAAGCAGCAGGUUAAUACCCCGCUGUUCUGACGGUACCCAAAGAAUAAGCACCGGCUAACUUCGUG
rnacentral:rRNA from 1 species